GCCCUUGUAGCUCAGUGGUAGAGCAGCUGUUUAGUAAUCAGCUGGUCCGGGGUUCGAUUCCUCGUUGGGGCUC
rnacentral:tRNA from 8 species